UGGGGAAUAUUGGACAAUGGGGGGAACCCUGAUCCAGCCAUGCCGCGUGUGUGAAGAAGGCCUUAUGGUUGUAAAGCACUUUAAGCGAGGAGGAGGGUACUGGUAUUAAUACUACCAGGUACUGGACGUUACUCGCAGAAUAAGCACCGGCUAACUCUGUGCCAGCAGCCGCGGUAAUACAGAGGGUGCGAGCGUUAAUCGGAUUUACUGGGCGUAAAGCGCGCGUAGGUGGUUCGUUAAGUUGAAUGUGAAAGCCCCGGGCUCAACCUGGGAACUGCAUCCAAAACUGGCCAGCUAGAGUAGGGCAGAGGGUGGUGGAAUUUCCUGUGUAGCGGUGAAAUGCGUAGAUAUAGGAAGGAACACCAGUGGCGAAGGCGACCACCUGGGCUCAUACUGACACUGAGGUGCGAAAGCGUGGGGAGCAAACAGG
rnacentral:rRNA from 1 species